UUUUUUUUUUUUUUUUUUUGGUCUUUCUAAUUUGUAAUAUUAGCACAAAUAUGUGUGAAAACUGAAAGCUAAUUCCUCAUAUUUCCAUGCAUACAUACACAAGAAAAUUGGUAAAUGUAGGCGAGUUUACAACAUGUUAAAUGUGCGUCUUUACAUGCAUCAACAGUUGACAGUCGCUCACGCGCGUAUGAAAUUAUAAUAAUGAUUAGUAUUUCUCUUUCAUAUGUCAUGUGUUGUCCUUUUCUUUUUGCUUCCUAACAAGAUAACUCCCUGCGGGAUCAAACCUAACCCACAAUCCAUGCUGAUUUGUAAGAAGGCAUCAUUGUCCUUGGGCUCAAAAUCGAUUUUGGUGCAUCAUAUUUCUUCUUCAAACUCAGAAGAUCUAUAUUGUGCAGGAGAGUGGAUCAAAUUUUGUGACGCAAUGGUUACCUCAAAACCUGCAGCUUUUAUGCGUGAUCAGAGAUCACUUUUUGGGGGGAGGAGGAGAGGGGGAGAGAGGAUCUCAGAUUUUUGAUGGCAGCAAAAUUUUCACAAACUAGAGCCAAGCAGCCUAUAUGCCAAGUACAAUUUAGGGCAGGGCCUCGAGAGGGCCUCCCUCUGGUACAGUUUGAAAAGCUGCAUGCUUGCAUCAAGACACUGACACUUUGAAGUUUCUAUUUAGACCUCAAAAAGGCUCAAAUGGUUGUUGGCAUUUAAGUGAGAGGAGAUGAGGCUGAUCAUUUGAAUUCCACUAGCUAGAAACCAACAAAGAGAAAAGGAAUAUAACGGAUUGCUGGGUUUGUUUUAAUACUUUGUCUAGUUCCAUUUCGACUGGAUUCCAAGUUAUUAAGAAGCUUAAACUAAUUUUUGUGUAACCCAACACAAAUUUAGAUUAGUCGUUACGAUUGGUGACUAUAGAGGUCUUAUAUAGAUGUUACUUUAAUCGAAAAUAGUUUAGUAAUUUGAUUAUCAACAUUUUCGUUUCAAUUAUGUUUAACAAGCUGAGUUUUUCGUAUACACAUUUUAUAUGACCAAACAACUUUCGAUUUGUUUGCAGUAGUAUCAAUGUAUCAAGGGAAGCACAAAUAAACAGCGACCAUUUUUGUUUUGUUUUGGUCACAACACCUAGACUACGUUUGCAUAAGCCAUUUGAUAUGUAUAAUCUGACCCAAAGCUGCUUAUGCUUUUAGUUUGACACAUUCAAAUAUACAAAGCGGAAAAUGUCAGAGAGAAAUUGUGGGCUAGAGGCCUGUAGGUGACAAGAUAUCUGGAGCCCAUUUUCAAUGUGGGCCGGUAGAUGAAUUUUGCAUCAAAAUGUAUGUUGAUUAAUAAGUUUUUUAUUUGGGAGAUUUCCAUAUCCUAAAAGGUCCGGUCUAGGAUGAUCCAGUUGCAUAUAUUUAGGUUAGGGUCAGAUACGAGAAAAUAUAGUUGUGGAGGCAACAACACAAAAUGAUUUGGUUAAUCAAUUAUCAUAAAUUUAACCUCAUCCUCACACAACUUUGGUUAAUUCACUGCAAAAUCGUCAUACAAAGCAUAUAAAAUUUUGUUUUUAUUUUUUAUUUUUUUUAUACGAGUAAUAUUGGGAGAGGAGAUUUUCUCACACACUGUCAAGGUGCCAUGGGAGUUUGAAUCUAAGACCACUAGUUUGCAAGUCAAGAUUCUUUCCACGAGGCUGCAAGUCAAGACCCUUUCCAUUCCAAUGUGCUAGACCCCGUUGCUAGCUCUAUAAGUUGUUAUAUAGGUUUCUCUAAUUAAUUGAAAGCAUACAAAGACGUAAUAUCUCCUCACCUCGCAUUCUCAAAUCUUCAACAACAAUGACGUGCUGAAUAAAUCAGAGGUCACCUUAAACUAUUGAAAAACUUCAACUGACAACAAAUCUAGCUAAGGCUAUGGGUGACAAAAUUUGCCUUCUCACACAAGGAGGAAGGAAAUGAAUCUUCGUCCCUCCUACCAUGUCUUAGUUUAGAAUUAUGGGAUAUUUAAGCUAAUCAUACAUUGACACGUAUUAAGCAAAUCAUAAUAUUCUUCUAACAUAUCAAGCAUUUCCCUGUAAACAGUUCUGCAUGUAUAACAUCACAAGAAAUGAUUUUCUAUUAUUAAUACCGUAUUUGACAAUCAGAAAAAAAAGACAAAAGAAAAGAAAAAGAAUUUCACAAUAGAGUGAAAAGAAUGUGAAGUACAAUACCACUAUAAUACAGACUCAACUGAACCCUUAGCACAUAUUUAUGCAACUCAAAACAUGCAACUGGGGGAGGCCAGACUAUUGUCAAAUCUCAAAUCUAUUACAAACUAAUGAUCAUCAAUCAAUCACAUUGAUUAUGUAUGGCAUCAUUUGAAGGUUCCCAGACCAACAGCAGCCUCUCCACCAUAUGGCUGGAAGCUUCCCCUGGCUCUGGAGUAGAAAACAUAGUAGAACUCAGAAACUAUUGUGGUGAGGAAGAUGAAAGCUGCCCCUGCACCAAAAACUCCUUUUCUCAAUGUCUGGCAAUCUGGAGGGUUUUCACUGAAAAUGGUCCUGUAAUGGGUGUGGUAGGCAUUCCUCACGGAACCCGCCAGCAAGCACACCUCAGCAAUGAAGAAAAAUAUCCUGUUAAGAAACACAUCAAAAAAAUGUAUAAGUAAAGAUCCAUUGCAAGAUGUGAACCUUAAAUGCUGGUGUGGAAGUUAAAAUCAAAAUUCAGUCUGCAAUUAUAUGAACAUCCAUGUUGAGCUAAUUGAAUCGAUCCAUUUGGCAUGGCAGUUUUCUAUGGUAUGUUAUAAGUCAUACCAGCAGGUUAUGAAAAGGAUGACUGCCCAGGCUCUUGACCCUCCAGGACUCAAUGGCUUCCCGCAACAGAAGCAUCGGCUUGCUGCCAUUAUAAUGACCUGACCUACCAAGAGGAACAAAAAUGCACCAACCCCGUAGCCAGUUGCAAUGUCCGAGUCAUAGACACAAUAGUUGUAGUUCACCUCAUUAUCCUGAACGAUCCUUGCCUGUCAUUAAGGGCACGAUUGGAUUGUUACUAUUGUAUAGCAAGCAGCAAGCUGUUAUAUAUCACUACAUUGUCAAGGUCCCAACCCAAGGCAAAACUCCUGUAUUUCAAUAAAGCUAAGUACAACUAAAUUGGCUCACGUCAAGAUUUCAUAAUUCAAACUUUGGUGGGUAGGGGAAAACUGUAUAAUUUUGAGAUAUGAAAACAAAUCAACUAUAAAUUUAGUUUUUAUCAGAACACCAAAUAGAAGGUACGGCACACCAGAAAUAUAAGAAGAGAAAAAAAUAUCAUUGCAGCCAGAUUUAUAAGUGGGAAGUUUUGGGUAAUACUAAAAUUUUAACCACAACUUUUAUGCUUAACUAACCACUCUGAAUGAAAGAGGUUAACUUCUCUUAUUUGGCUGGAAAAUCUCACAAAACAAGUUGUCAUUCAAGUUCAGAACACCCAUCUUAUUCUUGGAAUCAAAUUUAUUUGUAUGAUUCAAUUUCAUAUGCCUCUAUAUGUUUCACAACAUUCAUUACAAUUUGUUCCAGAAGUAUUCAUGGCAAAUUCUCCAAGAAACUCAUAUGCAUGAACAGGUUAAUUUGACAAAUUUUCUUGAAAACACAUAACAAGCCAUAGAGAGUUGAUUCAAUUUAUCCGGGUCAGCAAGAACACAAUUUUCUUGCCUCUCACUAUUUUGAAAAACCCCUAUGGCGAGUUGAUCCAAAUACCUAAGUUGAAGUAUUAGGUCCAUCCAAGAAAUGGAUUGCUUCUUAUCUUCUUCAAUCCCAAACAAUUAAAAUACAACAUAUCGAGUUUCCUGUCUUUCCUUGCAUUUUCUUAGCAAACAAACAGUAAAUAUCAACAAACAAACACAGAAAAAAAAAACUUCAAUUAUAUACUAAUAUGUUCAGCAAAAGAAUCAAUGUUUAAAAAGACAAGCAAUAACAAUGAAGGGGCUUAAUAUGAAGUGAAAGAAAGAGAGAGAGAACUUACAGAGCUUCUCCUCUGCUCAGCUGCAACAGCCAGCCCAAAAGCAAUGACAUUAACGAUGAAGACUGCAAUCAACAACAGCUUUGAAGCCAUGGUUAUUAGUUAAGCACCUAGCUUCAGAAAUUACUUCUCAGAUCUCUCUCAAUCUCCUUCUCUCUCUCUCUCUCUCUCUCUCUCUGUCUCUCUGUCUCUCUCUCUUGGCCUGCUCUACUCUGUCUCUCUGUUUCUCCCUCUAAAUACACAGAACAAAACAACUGUGAAAAAAUGAUUGAAUAAAGUGAAGAAGCUACAAAUUAAAGAAAAUAAUAAAAUAGUGAAUAGAUUUAUUACCAACAGAAAGCUACUUCCCACCACUCGCCUGAAAUGUGGGUAUUUCACCUGUAAUAACGAAAUUCCCAAAAUAGCCAGUGUUGGUCAAGCACAGUGAAAUUGGAAGUGCAUUAAAAAAAAGAAAAGAAAAGUAAAACAAAUUUUGCUCAAUGAUGUGAGUUUGUAAAGGAGUUCAACUUAUCUUUCAUUUCAUGUCCUCUCUUUUGAUGACAUUUUUUAAUUGGCGUGGUAGAAAUUAGAAAUAUGUGGAAACACAUUAUGUCAGUUCAUCAUAUUGAACAUUUAAAUUGAAAAUAAUAAGAAAGAUGAGUUGUAACUCAAGCGACAAUAGAGUUAAGAUAAGAAAAUGACGGAUUCUAAGUUCAACUUUGAUUGAUCGUACGAGGUUGAAUUUUUUCGUUAUGAUACAUCUUUGUAUUUUAUUUUGAUCAUUUUUUUUCUUCAUUAUGUUAAGGUGUGGUGUGAAAAUUUAUUAGAGAAUGUCGGCAAACAAAGAACAGAAAUUACAAGAGAAUGUCAAUAGUUCUAAUCUUUGUUAAUUAAUAAAAAAAUGAAUAGGUAAAAACAAUGAUUCUGUCACCAAUUAAUGUCGGAAAAUGAAUCUAUAAACAUAACAUGCAUGUGCAGCAAGGCUAUCAUGUCAUAGUUAGACAUCCAAAAUAAUAAAAUUUUAUUUUUCAACGUGAUUUUCCUUGAUUAUUUUGAAAGACUUGAAGGGAAGCUUAGUUCAGGGGCAAUUUUGGCAUUUAGGGAUUUAAACCCCACCAGAAAGCUCUCGCAUAUGAUUAAUGAUGCAAGCAAUUGUCGGUGAGGGAGGAGUUGUGUGAGCAGAGCAGUUGUUGGAUAGAGAGAGAGAGAGAGAGAGAGAGAGAGUCAAUGGAUGCUUCUUAAGCGUAAAAGUGCAGCAGCCUGCCUUUUUCAUCAAGAAGAUAGAUCAGAUCCAACGGCUGAUCUGGCGGGGUUUAUGGACGCGUGAAACAGACGAAAGAAUACCAGAACCUUUGCUUUCAGUGUGGGUUGUCUUUCACCGUCUCCUCUGGCUUCUAUACCAUGCACUGCAGCCUCUUCACCAUCAACUACGCCCUCACCUUUUUGGCUGUCAACCGUUGAUUUGCCGCAAUCCACUUCGUCUACGGCCGUCAAAGUGAAUAACUCACGUCAUGCCACGGACUUGGUAUGGUCUGGAUUCAAUCGGUUUGACUUCAAAUUCACCAUCAAAUUUAAGAGUGCUGUUAAACGAAUCUUAAAAUUAACUGAGUACACCAUAUGAUCUAAGUACACCAUAAUAUUUUAAUUAAAAUAUAAAAUUAACUAAGUACACCUUAUAGAAUUAUCAAAAAUACCCCUGAUACACCCUAAUACUUGUAGCAUUAUUUUUACCGUAGUGGAGAUAUUGAUAAAGCAUUUGCUGUUGAGAAACACAUGUUGGAGCAUGGUGUCUAUCCAGAAGAGCCUGAACUAGAGGCCCUCUUACGAGUGAGUGUGGGAGUCGGUAAAGGUGACAAGGUGUAUUAUAUGCUGCACAAACUAAGAACAAGUGUAAGGAAUGUCUCACCGUCUACUGCCAAUUUAAUUAUGAACUAGUUUCAUAGCAAAGAAGCUGCAAGAGUGGGAAAAAUAAAAUGGGAUCCAAGAUUGAUAAGGGAGGCAAUUGAGAAUGGGGGUGGGGGCUGGCAUGGGCAGGGUUGGUUGGGAAAAGGAAAAUGGUCUGUGUUGCGUACAACUAUAGGAGCUGAUGGCUUGUGCAAAUGCUGUGAGGAAAAAUUGGCCACAAUUCAAAUAGAUUAAUUGGAUUCUAAAGUGUAUAGAAUAGAUUGAAACCUUGAUGUUAUUUACUCACAUCAAGAAACAGCAAGAAGCUCUCCAAUCAAUAUGCAGAACUAAUCAACAUUGACAACAGCCAAGUCAAAAGCACCCUUCUAAAAGUUGUCUAGUAGAUGUGUCGCUGCUUUUUAAGUUGUCUAAUCCAAGUUGCCAAGUCUGAGAAGAAAGAUGGGCACUGAGCAAUCUGUUCCAAGCCAUUCUAACUCGCGGAUCACAAAGAUAGGCACCGAGGAAUCCCUUGAUUAGGGUUGAAUAUGGUUAGUAGGGUGUACUUAGCUAAAGAAACUUAAGAAGAACAAAUUCAAGGCACAUCUCAUUUUUUGCUAUACACCACUUUCCCUUUUAAUUUCUCCCCAUUGAGGUUCUUGGACCUUGAGCAUUCUUUUAAGUAAAAAGACAUGGAAUUCGUGAAUUCAACUAAAAGAUAUUCGGUUGAUUGUGGAGCAGUAGGAACUAUCCCUCUACUUAGGGUUUUGCAUUAAAAUUUUAAAUCUUAUUUGAGUGAUUCUAUUGUCAUUGCUCACAUUCCAAUCAAAAAGUUUAAAUUUUGUUUGAGUUCUUCUGUUGUUAUUCUCAUUUUUGCAUCUUGCCCCAACUAAAAUUUUAAAUAAUUCAAAAUAGGAAGGAAACUAGAGAUGAGGAAGGGUUGAAGAAAAUAAAUAAUACAUAAAGCUAAAGCUAUAAUAUUCAUGCCUUGAUGUUGCAAUUCCGAUCUACCAAGGACAAAGCUAACUCCAUCAGAUGAUUUAAUUAUUCAUAAUCUUUUUAAUGUCUAGAGGAUCCAAAAAAAAAAAAAAAAACCCGAAACCUGCUAAGUUGUAUUGUAUUUGUUCUAAUUUAUAAAUUGAAUUAUAAAUUGAAUUGGAUUUGACCGGUCGGUUGGAUGAAUUGGAUUGAAUUUGGGAUAGCCAAUCUUCAUAUUUUAUAUUUUAGUUUCAUCUUCAAUAGUAAAAAAGAAAAAAAAAUCGAAAACGUUAAUACCCAAAAAAAAGUAAAAAUGUUACUGAUUUAAACCGACAUUAGCUUGGAAACGAUGGAUUUGCUUCUUCUUUUGGAAAUGAUGCAUUUGAUUCUUUCUAUUUUAGGGCAAGAAUGAUGCAUUUGGAUUUGACCGCCCUUCUCUCUCCUUAUCUCUGAUAUGAUAUUGUAUUAUUUUGCAUUCCUUUUGUUUCCGACGGUGACAUCUCUUACUUAAUUUGAGCCUUGGACUUGGACUUGUUGGACUUAAUAUGGUAAAUGAAUGCUAACUAAGACACAAUCUCUAGGUAUUUUGGUAACAAGAUCGUACUUAGUUUGUUUAUAAAGAAAUGAAAUUGGACUUUAAUGCAAGGACUAAUAAAUGGCAAAUGUAUAAAUAAAAUCCAUUUCUAAUACACUAAUUAAGGUGUAACAUCAUCAUUCUUCUUAACACUUGACACGUGUUCAUGAGUAUAAUCAUGAUUUCAUAAAUAUUAAAUAAAAAAUUAACUACGGUUACGUCUAUAGACAUGUGUCAGGUGAUGAAUAGGAUGAUAAUGGUACACCUUGAGUUAAAAUUGUAAGUAAAAAUAUUUUUUGAACAUUUUGUCAUGACAAUUAAUAAAAUUAUAGUGCAAUAUUCAAGCGAUCUUUUGCCCUUUCUCAAAAGAUUACUUUUCCAUAAUAUAUAUAUAUAUAUAUAUGUGUGUGUGUGUGUGUGUGUGUGUGUGUGUCCCCAAAGGCCAAAACUUGUCUUAUCCCAAAACAAUCCGGAACCCAAAAAUUCAGGCUCUGAAAAAUUCUUGAUUUUCUUCUUCUUCUUCUUCUUCUUUGAAUCAAAGUAAGUGCACAAGUGUCAAAGCCAUUUUGUAAAAGUAAGAAAACAAUGUGGUCUGGUGCACUUCGAGCUGCGCUUAUAUGGACCAAGGCUUCAAGAUGGAGGAAAGUAUCCAAAUGGUAAACUAUACUUUUACUCGACCCUCUUAAGUUUUUCGUGCCACAAAAUACUUGCAGAACCCUUCAUCGGUUUUCUAGCGCAAAAAAAAACAUGUCCAUCUAUAUUUUUAUACCACUGUGAAAAUGAAAACAAAAUUAUAGUUUGAGAUUGCCCUGAAAUGGGUUAACCUGUUAUUUUUGGAUGAAUGUUUUCCUGCUUCUUGCUUCACUUGUCAUUUUAGUUCUUGUUUGUUUAUUGCUCUUCUAUGAUUUAAGAAGAGAAAAAAAAAGGGAUUCAAACUAAUUUGUAUCUACUUCCCUCUAGUUUUUGGGGUUCCAUGAAGAGUUGGUGGAGACCUUGUUACUUGCAAACCUAAUUUAUGAUCCUAUUUCUUAGUGUUUGUAGGACAUUGACUUGUCAACUUUGGAUACGCAUGGCUGAGUAGAUUAUUAUUAUCAUUACUAUUUUUUUAUACAAACGAUAUUAGGAAAAUGAGAAAUCAAACUUAAAACUUUGGGAUGCAAGGAUAAAUAUUUUUAGCCACUUAGGCUAUAAGCCGAUGAAUCUAAUUUUUUAUAAUAUGUUUAAACAAAAUUAUUUAAAUAUAAAAGUCUUGAAUAGAUGAGUUUCAAUUCUACGAGUGAUGUUGUCCAAAUAAUAAAAAACUUAAAUAUUUUUCACAUAGGCUGGCCAUUUUUGGUAGCACAUGUGACUAAUAACAUGCUUGUAUUGCAGCAAGAGCCUGGUUAAGCAAGUUCAAAUGCACUUAACCAUCCAAAAGAACAGGAGAGACGCUAUUAUAAGGCAGGCACGUGUGGACAUUGCCCAGCUUCUUCAAAAUGGCCAGCCACAGCAAGCUUUAGCUAGGGUAAUUAAUCUUAUAUUGCUAAUCAAAUUCAAAUGUAGCACUAACCACUUGGGUUUUACCUCUUGGCUAGCACCCAAAAGACUCUAAUUUGAUUUGAAGUCUCAUGAAAUGUCAACUUCUUGUUUUUAUGUCCAGGUUGAGACACUCCAGAAGGACCAGUGCCUUUUGGCUGCUUAUGAUCAAAUUGACCAUUUCUGCAGUUGCAUAAGCAUCAGCAUUGUCCAUGUAUUCAAAAACAAGUAAUUAAGUACUUGACUUGGAAUUUACUUUAAAUUCUUAAUCAUUCCUUCACUGGUUGAGAUAAAUUUCAUGAACCAAUAAAUUGAUUGUAUAUAAUAUUACUCAUUUUUUAAGUUAGUGUUUCAGUUGGCUGAAUUGGUUGCUGCAGGACUGUGCAAGAUUUGCCUAGUAGUGUUGGAGAAGCAAUGGCAAGUUUGAUAUUUGCUGCCUCAAGAUGUGGUGAACUGCCAGAGCUGCGUUUGCUGCGUGGCCUGUUUACAGAGCAAUAUGGAUGGGAAUUUGACAUUACCAGCGUUGAAUUGCGACCUGGGAAUCUUGUAAAUUCUCAGUUGAAGGAGAAACUAUGCAUAAAUCUGAUUCCCGAUGAUGUGAAACAAGGGUUAUUAAGUGAUCUAGUAAACAAGAGCAGUGUUCAGAUGACGCUCCAGGAUCGACCAGGCACCGCACGUCAGGUGAGAGUAAUGCUAGUUGUACCACAUUUAUUCGUUACAUUAUUGACUAACGAGCAGUCAUACUGAUAGCACGAAUCUUUGUGUUACAGUAUGGUUUUAUAAUAUAUCUUGGAUGCUUGAUGUUUUUAACUCUAUGAAUUCUGUGUUACAUCAUUUUCUGAUGCAUGGCACAGAAAUAUAGCUUUUCAGACAAAGAUUUCAAGGAUAAGCAGAAAUUUGAUGGGAUUCAAAUACAAAUUCCAAAAUUGGAGACAGCGAGGAAAACUGGGAUAGUCUGUUCUCUGUCAAACGGUAAGUUCUCAGUGGCUACUCCAUCCCAUUCUCAAAUUUGCUCAAAUACUACUUAUGGUUUAGGUGACUCAACCAAAACCAAGAAAAAUGAAGAUCAAGAUCAUCGCAGCAAUGGAAACAUACAUAUAAAUAUUGACUCAGGGGGUAGAAAUGCAAGCUUUAGAACAUAUGCCAUGACUAGUUUACCUAGAAAAAGCCCAACUGGGAAAAUGGUUCCGUCCAAAAUCCGGUAUGACCAUCUCUCCCCGAUGGAUGCUCCGAACAAAGAUCGUUCCAAGAUGUUGGCGAAGGGUCGCCAUUCUUUCAGUAGUUCGGCUGACGAACAUAAAAUCGCAAAGGGAAUAUCUCCUUGCCAUGUCCACCCCAAGCUUCCAGAAUAUGACGAUCUAGUGGCCAAACUUCGUUCUCUCAAGGCAGAGUAUAGGCAUCAUAAAAGCUUCUCGUUUUUCUGAAUAUUUUGAGAAGGAUGCAGCAAUAGGAUUUGAUCAAAAUCUCAAAAAUAUUAGUGAAAUUGAUUUUUAGGUCGUGGAAUUGGGUGAAUGAUAACUGAGUUGUAUUUUCGUAACCUUUUUUUGUUACAGAAUAGGGUAGUAUUUAAUGUAAAAUCUCAGCAAUCCAACGGUUCAUUCUUCUAUGCACAUUUUGCUUAUGCAGAUAUAGAAUUAUAAUUGGUUUAGCAUCAACAAACUGAAAUCAGGAAACAUAAUUAACAAAUUCUGUUGAUAUCUCCGCAGCUCUUCACAUUUUCCUUGUCCUCUAUCCUUUCAUGCACAAAUAAGUCAGAACUGUCAAACCCUCCAUGAAAAAUCCAACCCAAUCAACAAUAUUGAAUCAUGUCACUAUAUACUCUUUUUACAACUUCCUAUUUCAAUAUUAAUCUAAGGGCUAUUUUCAAUAAGUAGAUUGGCCGGUUGAGCCAGUGUGGAUAAGUUUUUUUUUUAAACCCCACAAACAUUAUAUACUUGCCGAUCAACAAAAGGUGCAAAGAUGUCUGCUUUCUUACACAUACAAACAGAUUUUUGAUAAGAAAAUUACAAGAGAUGCAGAAAAUAACUCACAGUGACUAUCAAUGCAAAUGCACUAGUUACAUCAAAUAAACAGGUGGGUUUGUUUGUGUCUUCCUAGGAUAUACAAAAAGAUAACUUACAGUGCUCUCCUUGUGUGGCAGCAACACCCGAGGCCUUAUUGUGUAUGAGAGCUGUGAGGUUAUUCACUUGACAGCCAUAAGGCAUGCAUCAGCUGCAUUAUCAAGCAUUUCAAUUGAAAGGUCCAUCCCUUGGACUUGAAUAACCCAGAAACCAAUGCCGAAGAAUUAGGAUAUGAACUGCAAUCAAAAGCUACUAGCAAUGAAUUAACUAAGCUCCACAAUAUCAAUUGACAGGAGAGUUUCGGCUUUUCCGCCCAAACAAUAGAAGCUUCUUAAACCCUUUGGCAGCUUUAGGAGAGGUUUCAUCACUGUUCCAUUUCUUCCUGGAGUGGAGUUGUUCUCUGAGUGUUUCAUCACUUGGUGGAGUAGAGAUUUCUAUCUCAGAAAUCUCAGAAGAGAUUGGUAAGUUCUUAGUUAUUGGACCAUUUUCUUCAAUGUUCACGGCGGAAACAAUUGAAGUUUUGUUAGGUGAUCUUGGAAUAGGAGGAUACACACUCAUUUCAGGAAGAUAAUUUCUUUUGUCUUCACUAAGAACUGGAAAUUCCUGAGGCAACUCUUCAGCAUCACCUGUAAACUGAUCCAGUUUUGCGGAGUUCACUUCAAAAGGCACAGAAAGACGCAAAUUGGGAGAAUACCCAUUGCAGCUUCCGUUCUCCAAGGCCUCUCUUUGUAACGUCAGAUUUCCUUCACUCUUUUCAACAGAAGAUGUACCAUGGAGUUCCUUAGUCUCUUCCAAAUGAUUGAUGGAACUAGCGGGUUGAGUUGCAGGUGCAGCUGAUGACUCAAUUGGCAGUGCUUCUGUAGCUUCUAUGCAAACCUUUUCCUGGACAUAAGAGUCAGACGAAAUUAAUGGAUUUAAAUUCUUCAGGUCGUCUUUCACAUCUGAAGGUUUGGUUUUGUUUGGACUUGGUUUCUUAUUCAUAGCACCAGCUGCCUUCUGCGACGAGGCAGUUGCAACUACACCAUUUGCUUUAAUGUUUUGUUUUUUGGGUUGGCCAGAAUUCACCCCCGCGGUUGACAGCUUUUCAGUUACCCGAGCAGUUGCAAGGCGUUCAAGGGUGGAACUCCGGAGGACAGGCUUAUCUGAUUUCUUAGUCUCUUGGAUUGAGGAUUGAGUUUUAAGCUUCUCACUCUUCGUGUUAGUCAUGGCAGUUUUGUUUUCCACUGGGGCCUUCUUAGACGUUGCUGUAUUAGAACCACUCCUUUCAGCAAUUCUCUUCUGGCGUUGAAUUCGUAACUCCUCCAUUCUCUUUCUCUGUUCUUCUUCCUAAAAAUAUAUUGGAAAAGAAAGUGAAUAAAACCAGCAAAAUGGAAAAAGGAAGAAGGGGAGUGUUAGUAAUAGUGGACAAAGGUUUAGUCUUGUGACAUCAAAGAAAAAGAAGCAAGUCCAUUUGGUCUGGGUAACAAAAACAAGUUCUACAGCAUAUUGCGUUCAUCAAAAGGAAUUAGGAAAAAUCAGAUAAAAAAUUGCAAUGAGUAUAAAAUAUUUAAAAACUCGGAAAACACUGAAAAUGAUAUCAAUGAAAAAACAGACUGGUGUCUAAAGCAUAACUAUUUCAAAUUUGUGGGACAGAUUAUGCCACUCUUUCUUGUUCCCCCCAAAAAAAGAGUUGGAAAGGAAAUCUAGCUUUGCAAAUCUUACAAUGGGAGUUAUCUUUCAGUACUUUCUAUCCCUUCCCACAUUAUUCCAUGAACCACUUGCAACGAAAAUGUUCGUUACAUACCUUUUCAAAUUUGCUCUUCGGGACUGUGCUUUUGCUUACAGAAGUAGGUCUUGUGCUUCUUGACAUGAUAUCAGAUUUGCUCUUCCCCAAAGAUCCAUUUACAACUUUAGGCCUUGCUUCUUUGGAUUGAACUUUAUCUCCAGGACUUCCACUAUUUUUAUCAUUCCUUCUCUUACUAUUAGAAGGUUUCUUAACUUCAACACAAUCAGUCAUUUCAGUGCCAGGAUUCUUUUUAGUGGCCUCAAAUGAUGACACAUUAUUCUCAUAAUCCAUUUCGGGAGUCCAUGGUGCCACAGCAUGCUCCACAGCUGAACCACGGUCAAGCAUCAUGUAAAGGUCAUCUGGUUCAUGGGUGCUAAAGGCCUCAGGUUUAUCAUUUGAAAUUUCCUCCAUGCCAUAUUCAUAUUGAGUAGCUCCAAUAAUAUCUGGAACGAUGCUUAUAUCUGUCCUGAACUGAGAAUCUGAUUGAUCAACCACUGAUUGGUCUCGAACCAUGAAAGAGUCAUCCACAAGAACAUCUCUCUUAUUUUUCUCAGCAUGAAUACUGUCAGUUGCUAACUUUGAUGAAGCAUAAACACCAUCAAAAAGUUUCAGAUCAUUGCUGGCAUCCUGAUUUGCUGAUAUAUCUGUUUGGUUGCUGAUGAACCAAUCCCCUUCAUUAGGACAUUUGGUUGUGUAAGAUUCAUUGGCACAACCAGAUACAGUAUCAUGGGAAUUGUUCCCCGAUUCUUCAAUUCUCCGUGAAAAUAAUACAUCCUCAUAUGUGUUAUCAGUUCUCUUGGUAAUCCGAGCAGCAUUCUCGUCACCUUCAAAGUACCGGACGUGCGUUUUACUCUCAUUACCUGGAUCCCUCUCUGUCACCACAAAAAAAUCACUUGAAUCUGCUUGUUGCUUAGUCACUUUCGUCUGUUCCUGGUUAAAUGCAAAUGACCUUCCUUCACCAGAGUUCUUACUUGAAAAAUAUUCUUCCUCAACCUGUAUAUUGUGUGGUUCCAUAUCAAAAGAACUUGAAUCCUUGUCCCUCAUGAGAAGGUCCUGAAAAGCAUUCCAGUUGUCAUUUUGUUUUUCUCCCUUGUAAUUAUUUGCAACUCCAUUUUUAAUUUCCUGAUCAGCAGCACCAUUUGAAUCAUCUACGUUGCCUGGAAACUUGCUCCCAUCUUGUUUUCUUUGAUGAUGUGAGGUUGACCUAUGUUUCUUCCCCAAUGACCCAACAGCUUCCUCCACCUGCUGUUUAAUGGAUUUGCCAUCAAUGAACUCAUCCUCAUCAGAUGAAUUUCCCUCAGACACACUGCCUGUUUCUCCAUCCCUUUUAGAGGUUAUGUAAUUGAUAUUACGGAUAACAACCUUUCUCGAGGACUUCCUCCCAUGCUUUUUCCUAUGCACCUGCUCUGUUCCAGAGUACUUUUUUCCAUGUUCCAUAGGAUCAUCAGAUUCACUCUCAUAACUAGAGCCAGUGCUCUGAUCGGAUCCAUCUUGCUCUGACGUUUCCAGCACUUUUCCAUGAGAAUGUUUCUUUUUAUUCCUAUGAGAUUUAUGAUUCCUACGACCAUCGGAUUCCUGAUCAAAAGUAGGGCCAGAUUCUUCCCCAUUUGGAGGCCAUUUCAUAUUCCCUGGAUAAUAUGGUGGAACCUGCAUACCAGGAAAAAUGUAACCUUGAUAGGGGUGCAUUUGUGGAUAUACAGGACCUUGAAAAUUGUGCAUGUACUGGGGAAGAUGGUUUGGCCAUGGGUUUGGUACUUGAGCUUUCCCAUCCGUUGAUGACAUCUUACCCGAUGCUGGCAAGCUAUUAUCUGCACAAGACAAGAGAAGAUGUUGUUGGAGAUAGAAGCUCAGUUUUUCUCAUAUUGUAAUCCUAAAGUAGCUCUAACAUGGGUAACACAAUAGCCUUUAAGAUGACAGACAGGAAUUACUGGCUUCUCUCAUAAGAUUGUUAGAUGUGAAACGAAAAUGAAGAUGAUUAUAGCAAUAUCUGUGGAUUACGAUUUUUAAACCAUGUCACAUAUUUUGCAAAUGAAAUUUUUGGGCAAGUAGAUCACAUCCAAAUUAUAAGCAGAAACUGGAAAGACCCAUGGAUGUUCAACCAUACCUUGGUUCACAUCCAGACUUCCAUGACUUGUUGACUCAGACACUGAUGUGUCUAGUGAGCCAUUUUUCCCAACAGAGAGAGUACUAUGGUUAACAUUUAUCAUGAGAUUCUGACUGGGGUCAUUAUCUUCUCCAGCAAGAAUGAUUCCUGAUGUUCCCAAGUAUGGCAGUUCUGGGUGAGCGCAUGCCUGCAUUGCUGCUAUUUCUUCCAUCCAAAGCCUAUCUUCAUUCUUUUGUUUGUAUAGAUUUAUGAAAUUAAUGCAUGCUUCCCUGAAAAAAACAAACAAACAAACACAGAUUUCAUCCUUUAACAAAAUAUACACCCACCAAACCUCCAAACGAGAAAAAAAGAAUAAGAAGAAAGACAGUUCUGAAUAAGAAAAGUAGAACUUUAUUACAUGAAUUUAUGGAAAGAGGAUAAAAGCAUUUAAAAGCCAUUAUCCCCUAUAUACCCCCCGAAAAUGGUUUCCUGGAAGAUAUCUCGAUAUGUUUUUUAUUGUUCAGUGUCCUAACUUAUUUUCUUUAAUUUGAAAAGGUACAUGGCCAAAAAACUUGUGGAAGACAGUUCCAAGUCAAGUCAACUUUCUGUACCUUAAACGUGAAGCUCCAAAAGUAUCAGAGAAAGAUAUAAGAUCAUCUAUAUAGUCCAGUUCAAAUCCAGCUACUAAAGCACGAGCAUAAGCCAUCGCUUGUUCUUUGCAUAGUACUACCUUCCGGGUUUCCAAAACACGUUGGAGACGAAUCCUGUUCAACAACAGCAGCUGAGUAAUCAAUGCAUGAAAAUGCAUUAUGUUGUAAGUUGUAACCAAUUAUGUACUCACAUAUAAGCAAAUGACAAUCCAGAUAACUUACUUGGAAUUCUCUUCUGGCACAGCAUCAAUGGUUACAUUGGAUUCACUGUUUGACUAAUGCACCAUCACAACACAAUAAAAUGGUUCAUUAUAAUGGAAAGUGCUUCAAAAAGAAACAUCAGUAUUUCACAUACAAUUGCCAAAUGAUGCAUACCUUCAAUGCAAUUGACUUAUUGUGAUUCCCAUCAGCUGUGGAUAUUUUAACAAACUAAAAGUCAGAAGAUAGGUUUUAUCAACUGUAGAAGUUAAAGUAAUAAAGAGAAAGGGUGGGCCAUGCACAAGCCUCCCCACCAUUGCAGGGUCUGAGUUGGUUCAGAUGUAAGCAGCCUUACCCCUGCUUGCGGAGGGGCUGCAUCAUCCUAUUUUUAACCUGCGACCUCCAUGUCACAGUUGAGCAGCCUUACCAGAGAGAUUAAAGUAAUAUAACUCUUUUUUCAUAUUUAUCCAUUGCUUGUAGUAAAUGCAUGUUUAAGGGUUCAAAGAGAGCCCAACAUUUUUUCAUCUCUAGCUGGUGAAUUUAUUCCCAGAAUAGAAAACAGGGUUUCAUAAAUGAAUUUGAUAUUUAGUUCAAUAGAUCAAGAACGGAAUCGAUUCAGUAAAUGCAAUCCGCAGGUAAAUGAAUUGAAGAAUAUCAAGAAGAGAUAAAGUAUAAGUAAGCAUCUCCAAAAUGCACCUUCUGCCUCUGUCAAUUCGUUCGAUUGAAUCGAAUUCUCAAUUUGCAAAAUCUCCCUCUCAAUAGUCACAAAUCUUUCAAGAGCUUCUGGUGUGGUAACAAACUUCACAAACCUGUUGCAUGUACAUCAAUAAAAUGACACCAAUUACACAAUCUGUCAACAACGAACAAUUAUUUAGCACUUCAUACAUGAUGAAAUAUGCAACUAUAACAAGCUAAAGAACAGAACUUUACAUCAAAUCUAAGAGUGCUCUGACUCCAAUGUCAUUUUUUGGUUAUCACAAUUAUGACCAGGAUCUUCACUUAAAUUAAUUAUAAUAUAUGAUUUUCUUUUUAUAAUUAAUGGGUUCAACCCAGAUCUAAACUUGGUCAUCAUCAAAUUUGGAAAUUUUCACUCAAUUAUGCUAGAAUAUGCAAGCAACCCAUUGAAAAUUGGACAAAAAAUUCUUACUUAACUGAUACCUGAGAAACAAACUCAAACAAACACACACAGAAUUACCUUUGCAAAGUGGCUUUGGUGAACCAGGAGGCACCUGAGCCCGGAGGACGAAGAAUAAUGGAGUAGCCUCCUUUGGAAAUCUGAUCCUUGGCGCAUUUCAAGUGUACAAGAAAUGGUUCUAGAAGCCCUGAAGCCAAUUUCUCGCUUCCACCAGCAGCAGCAAAUAUCACCAAUUCACAUCUUUAACACAAAUCAAUGAUAGAAAACUCAAUUUUAGCCGAAACCCAGAAAAUGUUCACUGUUCAAUUGCACACAACAACAUGAACAAUAUGAAAGUACGCGUCUUUGUGUGUGUGUUUGUGAGCAAAGUACCUUGUUCUGGUUGGAGUGAGUUGGAACAGAGCAUGAUCAAGACGAGUCCUAGAAUCCAUUGCCAAUAUGAGAGAGAGAGAGAGAGAGAGAGAUUUAGAGAGGUUCAAAAUGUGAGCUUGGACAUGUGGUAUGGAGGUUUGGGUGGAGAUGUUUUGUUAGAAUGGGGCCGAACACAUGAGAGAGGGAGAGAGAGUGCCAGCAGGAGGUGAUGAAGCUGAGCACAUGGGGGAAGUUUGAGAGCGUCGGAGGAGCACUUUUAGAUUGUUUCUGAAUGUGGAUCCCACGUGACAAUGCCGACAGAAACGUAUCUAUCUUACGUUUCUCACUCCCUCUCUCACUUUCACUUUGCUUUCACGGAAGAAGAUGAAGACGAAGAUGAAAAGAUGAAUGAAUCUAAGGUGUCCAAUCUUUCUUAAACCCCCCUCCCCUCCGCACAAUCUACAUCAUGUAUUUUACAAAACAUUAGGAUUAUAUGUUGCAAUUCUAUAGUAAAGGUAAUUAUAGAAAUAUUUGUGGCUAGCAUUUUUUUAGCAACCAAUAUAUAGGAUCCAUCUGUAUUACAGGGUGGGUGGUUAACAAUGUAACCAAUAAAUAUGAUACAAAUAUAACCUCACAUCAUUACAAUUAUGAAUAAAUAUAUGUUCGAUUUAUCACAUCGUUUAAAUAUUUUUAAUACAUCUUCGCAUACAUUUUAAUCUUAAAUACAAAUAAAUAUUCUUUUGUUGGAGAGUUUGAUUUAUUCCAAAAAAGAAGAUUGCAUAUUCAUACAUAUUUACACUUAAUUAAUAACUUUAUUUUACAAUCUAACAAUAUAACAUUCUAUCUUUCGGAGUCUAUAAGAAUAUAAUAUACUAUUAUUAAGAAGAAAAAAGGGGUUGAGAAGUCUAUGUCUUGGGUUCGCUCUUUUGGAAGCUUGUUUUUAAAGAGAGUAAUAAGAAACAAAGAGAAAGAGGGUCCUCUCGCAUUCAUGCUGAAUACGUGACACAGAAUAGUGUGUGUGUGUGUGUGAGUGUGAGCAAAAAGCUAUGGUGUUGCUUUACUGAUACUAAAUACUAUUGAAGACUUUGAAGCAAAAUAGAGUGAGGGAGUGGACAAGGAAUCAUAACACUGUCAAGCACCAACCGCAAAAAGUUACCCCAAAUAUUGAAUGCCAAUUUCUCCUAUAGCAUACUACUUUUCUAUUUCUUAACUAGCCCCUUUCCCUCUUAUUCAUUCAACCGCAAUUUAUUAAAUUUAUUAACGUUCGGCACACACCGAGUCCAUUCACCCAAUAAAAAUAUAAUACACGAGCUUUGUAUAUGUAGGCCCAACAAAUCGCUCGCGGCCUCGGCCUCAUAGCUAUCUUAGGAAACUCAAGAGGAUGCGAAUCAUCCACGUCGAUGACAAGACCUCCCCGGUUACAGGUUCCUCACACCUCAUAGAAUGUACCCACGUCUCCUGAAGAGUCAGGUGUAAACUGCCUAAAUCACCACAUGACCAGAUGGAACUGUUGCCAUGCGCAACAGGCUACUCUGCCCACACCCUGCCCCCUAAUAGAAACAUAGAGGUCAUCAUGGGCAGAGAACGUGGAUGGACUCCGACUGCCCAUCAUCUGACAAAUUCGAUGUGAUAUAAAUGGCUCGCCUCCUAGUCGAGGUGACCAGCUUGUUUUCAUUUACUUCUCCCUAUAAAUAAAACAUAGAUUUUUUUUAGAAAAUGACAAUUUUGGGAUCCCUUCAAUACUAAGAGGAAUAAAAGAGAAAAGCCUUGUCCCUUCUCUUUGACCCCUACCUUAUUUCCCAUUAAGCUUCUCCUCUCCUGGAAUCACAUUUAGAAUAAUUGUAUCUUCGUAUGUUGGCCAUUGGAAUAUCUGUAGUUCAAACAAAAUUAGUUCUCUAAUGGUGCGUUUGGAUGAGGAAAAUAAAUUUGGGAUUUUGACAAAAGUCAGAAUUUCUAAAUUGACAUGAACAAAUUCACUUAUUUGGAUUUAAAAAAAACACAGAAAUGUAGAAAUUUUGCAUGGGAAAAUAAAUAGAAUUUGGUGGUCAUAAAUUCAAACUUUAAAUUCUAUCUAAAAGUCGUCAUUUCUAAAAUUACAAGAGAGAUUGAGUUUCUUUAAAAAAAGAUAACUUUACAAAUAAAUGUUAAAUUCCGUAUUUAAAUCCGUUAUCUAAGCAAGAAACUUUACAAAUUCUAGAAUAUUAAUUUCUAUCAUUUUAAAUUCCAUCAUUUAUAACUUCAGUUAUCCAAACAAGAUGAAGAAAGAAUGAGAGAAAAGAAAAAUCAAAGAAUUGCAAGAUUAGAUUGCACCAUAAACAUAAGACAUUGGUUUAUCCAAAAACAUCAUUAAUCAUUUUAAGGACUUUCUUUCUCAUUUUGAUAACGAAGGGCUUUCUCUUGUUCCCCGAAGUUAUAAUGGAGUUGCCUAUACUCUUCCUAAUGAUGAUUCUAUUAGUUGGGUUGAUUGGCCCCCUGGUUUAUUCAUAAUGUUUUAUUUGAAGAUUGUAAUUCUUCAUAAUUAUCAAUAAAUGAUUGUACUUUCUUUAAAUUGAAACAAGAAGAUGAUUUCGGGCAUGUUUGGGAGUGCUUCUGGAAGGCUAAAAGAGUUUUCUAACAACUAAAAGUGCUUCUAACAGCCUUUGACAGAAAAAGUUUAGAAGUGCUUCCUAGAAAAGCACUCCCAUCUUUUUUUUAAUGAAAAUUUAAAAUUUUUAUAACGAAAGUAUUUUUUUAGAUGCACUUAUGAGCAGAAAUACUUCCAAAAAGCAGUUCCAAACCAACCCUUCAUUUUCUUGGACAUAUAAAAAGUUUCAAGAGUUAAUUGUUUUCUUCUACUGGUGUGGAUUGUAAGGCAAAUUACAAGGCCAAUUUAGCUUUUUCCAGUCUCAAGUGAUGUUCCAAUUAUUGAUUUCGUCUAUUAGGCCAUAACCUUCCUUUUUAUACAAUUUAAUAUUUUAUCUAACUAUGCAAGUGGAUAAUAUAUCAUGAUGAUGAGGAAUUUUAAAGUUUGCUACUUGUUUUCAUAAAUCAUAUAUAUACUUCUAAUUUCUAAUUAAUCAUAGUUGAAAAAAGAUGAUGCCAUAAUUGGUUUUCAAUCAUCGAGGGCCGAUUCCUACACCUGUUUUUGAAUUUACAUGCUAACAAGAACGUCAAGAAGUUCAUUAGUCACAAUGAUCACCGCUCACCUUUCUUCAUGUACUUUGAAUUAUUUUCUUCAGCUACUUCCAAAACUGAAGCUACCUUUGAUGAUUUGCAAACAUAAUUAUAUCAACUACCAUCCAACUUGUAUAUGAUUUGCCAAGAAUAACUUCAUGGAAAGAAACUGAAUUUCAAAUUCCAGAGUUUUUUAUUUAUUUAAUUAUUCAUUGUUUCUCUGUACAUUCAUAUUCCCCUAACUACAUUAACAGUCAUCGAAGAAAUACUUGUUUUGUGAGCACUCCACUUUCUAAGUAAUUUAUUAGUAAAGAACAGCCACCACUUUUUUUUUGGUAUCAAAUUCUGAGACAGUGUUGAUCUUAACCUUUAACCUUAUUAGUUAAACAUUUAAAUUAGUUAAGGUUUACUUUAAAACGGCUUGUACAUGAUUCUGUGGAACUAAUUAGGGCAAAUUAUAUCAUUAACGAGGUGUUAGUUAGAUUGGUGUGCUCUAAAGUGGUUAUUGGUUCAAAUUUCUAUGAUAUCCGUAUGUGUGAGUUUAAAAAACAAAAAUUGGGGCAAAUUAUCAUGACAUAAUGAUGCCAAGGCCCCAUCUAAAAACCAUUUCUAUUUCUAGUUGGUUCAUAAAUUGUUAGGAAAAGAAACAAGGGAAAAAAAAAAGAAAGAGGAAAAAGGUAAUAAGUUUAUGUUAGAUUUCUUGACCAAAAAAAAAAAGUUUAUGUUAUAAAUUUUUGUCAGACAUAAAGUACUAUUGUGAAACAACAAUCUACCUUACAUUAGCUGGAUACAUUAUGACAUUUUGUCUAUGAUGAUGAUGACCAAACACCCAUCUGAAACAAGUAACAUUACUGGGUCCAUUUGCUGUUUCAUUCUGUGUAUUUUUUAAUAAUUAAGAACUGAUAUGAAAUCUUAACCACCACCACCCACCAGAGGACAAACAAAACUUCCAUUUCCUGCUGCCAGAUUAUCCAUAUGUUUGUUCUGAGUGUGUCAUAACUUUGGAUACCCUGAUAUUCAUAAAUUAAAUUCCAACAUUGUUUAUUUGAGGUUUUUUUUGUUGUUGUUGUAAAGGUUUGACCUACUUGUACAUGUGAGCAUGAAUAUGAACAUAUCUAAAUAAUUCAUAGCAUUUCCUGUUUAAAUAUGAGAAUUAUGAGAGAAUAUUUUUUUUGAGAAUUUUGUAUAUUUUUUGAUUAUAUUUAUAAGGCUUAUUUAUUUUAGUACUUCCUGAAACUUCGGUCAAAUCUUAUUUUACCCCCUUAAGGUUAAAGUGAUCCACUUAACCCCCUUGACCGAGGUUUGAUGACUCAUUUUGUCCCAUGACGUCAACUCCAUCCAAAAGUCCGUUAACUUUGAUGACAAGGCAAGUGGAAUCCACCUUCACAUAAAUAAAAAUAUAAUUAAAUAUUAUAAUAAUUAAAAAUUAAAAUAAAAAAUAAAAAACUACAUUUAAACAAAGUAAAAAUAACAAAAAUAACAAAAAAUAUAACAUAAUCAAACAAACCCAUCUCCCCUCCUUCCACCCAACCGCAGAACCCAUAACCCAGCCCCACAAACCCCUCCCCCCUCUUCUCCCACUUGCAACCCGAUUUCUUCUGACCACCACCCACAGAACAAAACCUUGUUCUUUUGGUUUUUGUCCACAGCUACUCCUCCCCCCUUACAACCCAACCAACCCGUCUCCCUCUCCCCUUCUUUUCCUCUCUCUCCCUUCGACACACAAAACAUUGAACCCAGUCGCACUAGCCUACCCAGAUUAGAAAAUAGUGAUGGUUUUUCAAUUUCAACUCUCUCUCUUUCUCUCUCUCUCCUCUCAUCGUGGGUCAUCGACUACCGAAUUUGCACAGAAUCACAAUCCUGUGUUGUGAACUCUGGAGAGGAUCUCAAUCUCGUUCUCUGUGUUGUGAAGGCUUGCUGACAACGUCGAUUGAGAUGGGUUGGGGGAUUUAGUAUUUUUCACUACCGUUGAGAAUGACAUGUAGAGAAAAGGCAAAGAAAGCUGGGCUUGUUGUUGAUAUGUUGAUGGGUUCUCUGAGAUUGUGAGAAUAAAGGUAGAGAGAGAUUGAGAUUGAAUUAGAGGAGGAGGUGAUAAAGGUAAAGGUUGUAUGAGGUAGUGGUGAUUGAAUGGGUUGGGGAGGUGAUCGUAAAGGAGAGUACUGUGUUAUCAAUUUUUAAAUUUUUGGGUUUUUUUAAUGUAGAUUUUUAUUAAUGUAGAAAGAAUUUCAUUUUUAACUUUUUCCAUUUUUUUUAUUUUUUUUAACUAAACAAGUAAUUACAUGAUUUAAUUAUAUAUUUUAUUUCACUUAAAUAAAAAAAAAGUGGGCCCUUUACAUGACACAUAAUCACUUGUGGUAAAAAAAGACUAAAAUAAGUAUGCCACAUCAUCAAAACUGACAGAGUUAUUAAUGAAGAUGAUGGUUGGGGGUAAAGUGAAACACGAAACCAAGGUCAAUGGGGUUAAAUGGGCCACUUUAACUUUGGGGGGUAAAAUGAGAUUUGACCGAAGUUUCAGGAGGUACUAUAGUAAAUGAUCAUAUUUAUAAUACAACGGAGUCUUCGUGACCAAGUAAAGUAAUAAAAAAUUUUAUUUUUAUUUAUAGUAGAAAAUCAGGAAUUAAAGUAAAUCAAUUACAAUUACAAUAGAAAUCUUUGGUGUGCAAGGAAAGAAAAUCAAUGGUCUACAAGUCACGCCAACAAUCCCUCUUACGUUGGUGCAUAUAUGUCGCAAAUGCCCAACUGAUCUAGUGAAUUGUAGAACGCUCUAUUGGAAAUCGCUUUUGUCAAAAUAUCCUCUAAUUGAUUCUCGGACUUCACGAAAGGGAACUGAAUCACUUUAGCCUCAAGCUUCUGUUUGAUGAAGUGUCGAUCUACCUCAACAUGUUUAGUGCAAUCAUGUUGAACCGGAUUCUGUGCGAUAGCUAUAGCAGCCUUGUUGUCACAAAAGAGAUUCAUUGUGGAUGUAGGUUUAUACCCAAGUUCAGUAAGCAACUUUCUUAACCAAAUAAGUUCACAAAUCCCUUUAGUCAUGCCUUUGAACUCAGCUUCUGCACUAGAUAAAGCAAAUAUCUUAUGUUUCUUACUCCUCUAUGUCAUCAAAUUACCUCCCACGAAUGUGACGUAACCCGAUAUAGAUCUUCUAUCUGUUACACUACCUGCCCAAUCUGCAUGUCAAUAACCAUCAAUAUUCAAAUGACCAUGUUUUGAGAACAUAAGUCAUUUUCCUGAUGCAGACUUCAAAUAUCUAAGUAUGCAAAGAACUGCAUUUAUGUGGUCUUCACUUGGAGAAUGCAUAAAUUGAAUGAGGACGUUCACCGCAUAAGCAAUGUCCGAUCGAGUAUGUGACAAGUAGAUCAAUCUUCUCACUAAUAGUUGGUAUCCUUCUUUGCUAGUUAGAACUUGAUCCUAGUAUUCUCCAAGAUGAUGAUUCUGAACAAUAGGAGUGUUUACAGGCUUGCAGUCUAGCAUUCCUGUGUCUGUCAACAAUUCCAAGACAUAUUUCUUUUAAGAGAGAAAUAUGCCUUACUGUGAUCGGGCUACCUCAAUCCCCAAGAAAUACUUGAGCCCACCUAGAUUCUUCAUCUUAAAUUUAAUAGCCAAAUAGUCUUAUAGCUUAGAUAUUUCAUGUUUAUCAUUCUUAGUAAUAAUCAUAUCAUCAACAUAGAUUAUUAAAGUUGUUACCUUCCUUUUCUGAUGUUUCAGAAACAGAGUAUGAUCUGAGUUACUUUGUCUGAAACCAUUGUUCUUCAUCACCAUGGUGAACCGUCCAAACUAUGCGCGCAGUGACAGUUUCAAUCCAUACAAUGCCUUUCAGAAUUUGCAUAUUAUUCCAGUCUGAGUAGUAUUAUAUCUAGGAGGAAUGUCCACAUACACCUCAUCUGUGAGUUCUCCAUGUAGAAAAACAUCCUUUGCAUCAAAUUGGUAUAAUGACCAAUCCAAAUUUGCUGCGAGGGACAGUAAAACUCUGACGGUUUUUAAUUUUGCAACUAGAGAAAAGGUUUCUUCAUAGUCUAUACUGUAGGUCUGUGUAUACCAUUUUGCCAUAAUUCUUCCUUUGUAUUGCUCGAUAGAUCCAUCAACAUUGUGUUUGAUAGUAAACACUCAUCUACAUCCAACCGUCUUUUUUCCUUGUGGAAAAGUUUUCAGUGUCCAAGUCUGAUUUUUCUUAAGAGCUUUCAUUUCUUUCUUUAUAACUUAAACCCACUUAGGAUCUUUCAAUGCUUCAGCAACCUUGGUUAGGAUAUGGAUAGUAAACAACUGAAGCACGAAAGCCUUGAGUGGUUCAGACAGCUUUUAAGUAGAUACAUGAUUCACAUUUGGAUACUUUGAUGUCUUAGCAAUAUCAGGUGAAUAACGAUUUGGUGGCUUCCCAUGAUUCUACAUGAAAGGUAAUUCAUAUCCAAUAUAUUUAUUUUCUAAAUUCACAAGUGCGGUAGGAGUAGUUACCUCAAAGAUAUUCUUAGGAGAUUGGUUCUUUGGUAAUGUUAAGUGAGAUGGUGGGUCUUUAUCUUGUUGUUCUGGGUUGUUUGUAGGAGUGAAACUCAAAUCAGAAACAACUUCGCAUAGAUCAGGAGAUCGAUUGUCGGGAAUGAGUGAUUGAUCGGUUUUUGAUAGAGAAGAAUAUCUCAUUCCAGACUUGGGGUGAUUGAUCGUCCAACACCGGACGAUCGAUCGUUUCUUGGCCGAGAGAAACCCUAUGCUCCAGACCUCGUGGUGAUCGUCAGAGGAAGAACGAUCGAUUGCUUCUGUGCAGACACAAAUUUCUUCUUUUUUCAAAUUGCUCCAAUUUUGCCAUUCACUCCGUAUCUCCCCCUAAAGUAUAGAAUUGGAUGUUGGGUCAUGGAAGAACAUCUCAUAUUCCAGAAAGGUCACAUCCAAAGUGACAUAGGUCUCACGAUUAUGAGGGUGCUAACACUAAUAACCUUUUUGAUGAGUGACAUAUUCCACAAAAAGCAACGAAGUGCACAUGGAUCAAGCUUGCUACGUUGAUUUUUAUGGAGGUGAACAAAGGCCACACAUCCAAAGAUUUGGGGUAUGAGAACCAAAACAGAGGGCAGAGGCCCGUGUUGUGCGAGCACUUGUAAAUGAGUUUUAAAGUUCAAGACACCAAAAGGCAUGCGAUUGAUUAGAUGAAUUGCAGUGAUGAUAACAUCAUCCCAGUGAUGGAGAGGAACAUGAGCGCCAAUAUGAAGUGCUCGGGCUGUUUCAAGAAAAUGUCGAUUCUUCCGUUCAGCAACAUCAUUUUGUUGUGGUAUCUGAGGACAUGUCGUCUCAUGGAUAAUUCAAUGUUGUUGGAAGUAAGUCUGAAAGUCAUAAUUUACAAAUUCUUCACCAUUGUCUGAGCGAAGAAUCUGCAUUUAAGCAUUGAACUGAGUUUUCAUCUAUUUGUGGAAGAAUUGAAAUCGUGAAAACACUUCAAUUUUAUUCUUCAACAAAUAAAGCAUUGUCAUCCGUGUACAAUCAUCUACGAAUAUGACAAACCAUCAAACGCUAGAAGGAGCAGUGAUAAGUGAGGGUCCCCAGACAUCAAAGUGAAUUAACGUAAACAAAGUAGUACACUUGCUCAGACUUAACGGAUAGGGCACAUAGUGACUCUUGGCCAAAAUACAAGUAUCACAUUUGAACUCGGAGUCUUUGAAAAUUGAGAAUAAAUCCAAUAGAAGAUGCUUCAUAUAACUAAAAGAUGAAUGUCCCAAUCGACAGUGCCACAACCAGAUUUGCUUUUGCUUUCUAUCAGAGGGAUGUAUCACACUGUUAGCCAUGCUAGGAUUGAAUUCAUCCACAUAAUAGAGCCCCCCUCUUUUAGUACCACAACCAAGAAUCUUUUUACUGUGCAUAUCCUGAAGCAAAUAAAAAGUCAGGUAAAUUAGUACACAAUAAUUCAAUUGUUUAAUAAUCUGACUAACUGACAUCAAUUUAUUGGAUAGAGAUGGAACAAAUAGAGUAUUAGACAGCGAGACAGGAUCAGGUGCGGAUCUUGAGUCAGGAUCGAGUUCAGGGUCUGGUUUUGCAUCUUUAGGAACUGAGCCAUCUGAGCACUCAAUUCAGUUAGGGUAGGGGUCUUGUUCUACAUAUGUAGGAACUGAGCCAUCUGAGUACUCAAUUUGACUAGGGUAGGAAACUGGUUCUACAUAUUUAGGAACUGAGCUAUUUGAGCACUUCAUUUGGCUAAAGUCAGGUGAGACUGAGAAGCGGGGUCGAUAGUGCUACCUCCAUGAGGAAUGAAAAAAUCAUCAUCCCCCAUGGCAGCGAUGAGGGUUUGAAAGUAGAGUCAGUAAUCCCAAGAUCGCUACUCUGAUACCAUACUACAAUAUGAGAACUAUGAGAGAAUAUUUGUUUGUGGGAAUUUUCUAUGUAUUCCUCUCCUUGUAGGAGGUCAUAUUUAUAAUACAACGGAGCCUUAGUGGCCAAAUAAAAUAAUAAAUUCAUAUUUCUAUUUAAAGUAAGAAAUCAGGAAUUAAAGUAAAUCAAUUACAAUUAUAAUCGGAAUCCUUGUGUGGAAGAAAAGAAAGUCAAUGGUGCACAAGUUACGCCAACACUUGCUUCUGUUGACCGAUUCAUAUCUAGUUCUAUGGGGUAAUAAAUUUUGUAGCAUGUAUUACUUUGUCUUCAGUUUGCUAUGUGUAACUUUCAAUUUUAGUUUCAGUUUUUUAUAUUUUAUACUAGUGAUAUUAGGAAAAGGAAAUUCAAACACAGGACCUUGAGUGCAUGUAUGUAUUAACUUGUAGUCUUUUUUCUUAUCACCUUAGUUAAUCAAUGGUAUUUUUUGGAUUUAUCAAUAUUUUUAGCGUUUGAGGCCUUCUUCUUAUAUAUAUAAACAACAUGAAACGACCCGAAAACAUUAGAGAAAAAAUUAUUUUAGACGAAAACAUUAGAGAAAAAAUAAUAAAUUUUGUUUUAUACAGUGGAACCUUUGAAUAACAUGAGAAAUGAGUAGCAAGGAAAACAACAAACAAAGCGCAAAGCAAAGCGAAGUGGCACAAGAUAAACCAAUUGGUAGAGAACAAAGGGGCCCAAAACACGGCCCAACAAAAAAAAAAAGAAUUAAUUAAUUCUAAAAGAGGGAAACAACAAUAAAGAGGCUCAUCACAAGACAUUUUGUCUCACCCUUUUAAGAUGUGGGGUUCUUCAAAUUUCCCAGACUUUUGCCUAGCUUUGUUACUCCUCUGUGAUGCUACGUUCAUCUAGUGUAAAUAGUUCAUCAUGGAGUUUGUUUGUCUGAUGUUCCUUUCAGUUCCAAAUUGUUUCCCUCUUUUCGGCCGAGGUAGUUGACGGAAGGAACUUUUGGUCCUUCUUCUUUUGAGUGCGGGGCGUGCCACCACCAAGCCCCGAAUUUGGGCUUAAAUGGAAUGUGAAUAGAUGGAUGUGUUGCGCUUCUAACUUCUGACCAAACGAUUGAUCGGCCAAGCAAGGAACCUCAUCUUGGCCUAGAUUCUUUCACUUCCUCGGGCUCGAAGAUGGUUAGGUUUCGUACAGAUGUUUUUAUGAUUUUUAGGAUUUUAAGUAAAAAUAAUGCAAUUAAACUAAAUAUGCGUAUAAACAUAAAGACAAGAAUUGAAGUGCGAUAAAAUAAAUUAGAGCGAUAAAUAAAGCAAGAACGAAAUAAAAACGAUAAAAACGAUAAGAACGAUAAGAACGAUAAGAACGAUAAGAACGAUAAAAUAAAACAAACUUGAAAUUAAACUUAAUUGAAGUGCGAUAACAAUGAAAGGUAAAGUAAUCGAAAUAAACUUGAAUUUAAAUGACAAGAAAUAUAAAUCGAACAAGAAUUUAAAUGACAAGAAAAAUAUAAACUUACACUAGAAAAAGGAAGAACUCACUACACUAGGUGCUUGAAAAGUAAAAUCCUAAGUCUAGGAAAAGAAAAGUGCAAGACGAAAAGUAGGUUUGUUUGUCUGAUGUUGUGUCUUCUGCCUUCGUUUGGUAAGGUUUAUAUAGGGCUUCCGUCAGCCCAUGGGCUGGCCAUUGAAUGGCCAAAUGUCAACUCUUUUAAAACUCUUUUCUUUUGAAGCCCCUUGAAUUUGUGGGAUUGGAAAUAUUCUGAUUGCUUAAUUCUCUCAUGUUUUGGAAUGUGCUGAACUAUCAUCAAUCUCCUUGAUUUGUUUCCUUGUGAGGCCUCCAUCACAUGCAUAUUAACCUCUGAAAAUCUUGGGCGUGAAUCCGUGGUUUGGGCCUUGACCUCCGAGAUUUCAUCUUGACAUCUGGUGGAACCUCGUGCCCCUUGAGGUUUUAGAAUUCUAGAGUUGGCUGACCAUCUGCCGACUAUCCGCCAAGGUGGGUGGUAUGGGAGCUCCAAAUAUUUGGAUGUUGGGCUUGGCCCUAUGUUGGACUAUAUUCAAAUAUUCACCCCAGCUUUUUGUAAGAGGAGUGGCCGACCAAGGUAUUCAAGGAGUACCCGGCCUAACUUUUUGAGAAGGAAGCAUUUGGCCACUUUUGUAAGGAUAUGCCCGGCUACUUUUGCAAGGAUAUGCCUGACCACUUUUGCAAAGGAAAGUGCCCGAUCAUAUUUUUGAGAAGGCACCACGGCCUUCGAAGAAAACACAUCAGCUGAAUCCAAGACCGCGUGGAGCACACCAAAAACUAAGCUCAAUCCAACUAACACCCCAUUGGUACAUUAUUUUUGUUUGUUUGUUCUGUUUUUCUCUUUGUUAAGUUGGACUGAAAUCCAAAGAGGACUCCUUAUAGCUGGUUUUCUUGUUAAUAGGAGUAUUAAUUGGAAUAAAAUUGGGGCAAUUUGAUCUCAAAUUAGAAGAACCCAUUUCUAGUUUCCAAAGUCCUUUGAUAUAUUAAACUAAAAGAGGGUCAUCUUUUAUUUCUGCACAUGACCUUCUAAAUUUCAUAAACAACCAUGCCCUAAUGCAACAUGAUUAUUAAACGGGUUGUGUUAGUGUCGAAUCAAUAGACGCAAUUAAUUAAUGUAUACAGUUAAGACUGACUACUGAUUAAUCAAUACAAACACAAAGUGACACAACACGAACACACCCUACAAACAUGUAUUGCCAGUCGUACCCGUAAUUACAUAUGAAGUUCAUUAUGUAAUUUAGUUCAUAAUUCAAACCACUCUGUUUUUCCAAACACCAUCGCUACAAUCUUUUAUUUGGUAAGAUAAUAUAUAUUGACCAAGUGGGACAGGAGAACAAAGCCAACACGGAACUAUACAUGUCAAGUAAGAAGGGGUAAUCAAAUCAAAGGUCCAAAGGCUUGGAACGAGUGUACGGCAACUAGGGUUUUUGUUGACGUACAUGAGAUGAGUGACAAAGCAUCAAGGGUUCGGGGAAACAGUUAAUUCUCACAAAUUAAAAAUAAAAUAAAAUAACUAGCUAGAAGCUGCCUAGAAAUAAAAUUAUGUCAAUGUAAAAAAAAUGGUCUGUGUAAUUUUUCAGUGGAAUAUUUACCUCAUUCAAACAGUCAAAGAAACCCUUUUAAUGGUUUGUAUAACUUGCACUAAAGUAAUAUAUUAAUUUCUUCAUUUUCUCAGAAAAAAAACAUACAGUUUAAAGUACUUUGAAUUUGUCUUGAAAUUCGAAGGGGAUAGAACUCCCCAAGGCAUGUGCUGAUUUAAAUUUUCCACAGGGAUUUUAAUAUUUUGGUCCUCGACAAUUUGGUGGAAAAAAAAACUGGAAGCAUUUUAAAUUUUUCCAGAACAGGACCCAGUGCAUGUUAUAUUGAGGUGUGGAGGAGGAAACAUUUUCACAUAGAGAGAGAGAGACCUUCACCGUGUUUGAAGGGUUUUUCCCUUUGUAUUUGCUUACCGCUGGUCAAAAUUUUUGUUCUUUUCAGCAUACUUGAUAAAUUAUUUCAAAAUCAACUUCAACAGUAAGAAAUUCCAUCUUAAAAAAACAAAAUUUCUACAAGAAAAUUUGGGAGGAAAAAAAAAACAUGUGGACUUGAGGCUCUAUUUAAGGCCGUGCAAAUCCGAGUACAAAAGGUACAAUUCUCAUUAUAACAACAUAGAGAAAGAAGAACAAGGAAGAGACGAACACAAAAACUCAGGCUCAGAGAAAAACCAUGCAUCGUUCAGCGGCAAUUAACUUCCACCGCAACCUUUUCCUCCUCCAAAGCCAAACCCAAUUGGCCAAACGGGUUACCAAACCCUGUGAUGUGUUCCUUAAUCAUCGAGGUAUAGACACAAAAAGAACAAUAGUCUCUUUGCUUUACGACCAUCUUUCUCUCCUCAACUUGCGCCCUUUCUUAGAUAACAGGACCAUGAAACCUGGAGACAAACUGUUCGAUAAAAUUGAUAGUGCGAUAAAGGGAUGUAAGGUUGGCGUUGCUGUGUUUUCACCGCGAUAUUGCGACUCUUACUUUUGCCUUCAUGAAUUGGCCCUCUUCAUGGAGUCUAAGAAGAAGGUUAUUCCAAUCUUCUGUGAUAUUAAGCCCUCUCAGCUUCGUGUCGUUGAGAACGGGCAAUGUCCACCGGAGAAGCUUCCAAAGUUUAGGUUGGCUCUUGAACAGGCCAAGAACACUGUUGGGCUGACUUACGACUCCUCAAAAGGGUAAGUUCCAUGAACACACAGAGCAUAUUCCUUCUUUAUUUUUAGGGUUCAACUUGCAGCAGUGCUAAUAAGAAAAUGCUAAGGAGAUCGCAUUUAUAGAUCACAUUGUGUACGACUUUUCUAAUAAAAGUGGAGUCCACUUAUAUAAUGGGUCACACAUCAAACCUCUGUUAGAAAGAUAGUACACAAGGUGGUCUAUAACUAUAUGGUCUUCCCAACAUUACCCGUGCUAAUAAUAUUUCAUCAAAUAACUGUCUUUUGAGUAUUUGGUUUUUAAGGUUGUAAUUAUUAAUAUUCAAAGACAUGAUAUGACUACUACAUUUUCAUAGAAUUUCCUACUGAAUUUCCUGAAUUAAUUCCGAUCGGUUUUUCUUUUGGGUUUUGUAGGAAUUUGGCAGAUGUUGUAACAAGGGCUGCAAAUAUUGUAAUCAACAGCCUGAUAGAGAUUGAGAACGAAAAGCAUUCUAUGCGUCGUCCGAAAACUCCAUUUCAUUUCUAAUUUCUGGCUCUAGCAAACUGAUCCUUGAUUACUUUCGUUAAUUCGUUCUGCAUUACUCCUCUUGUUUGGUAAAUAAAAGUUCAAUAUACACAUCCAUUUCUUUAAUUACUUCCCAUUUGUUCAUUUGUAACUUUCUUUGUAGAGCACCGUGUAAAGCUCACCUGAUAACAUGUAUACUUUAAAUUAUUUUUAGUUGUAUGUAUUACAAAAUGUUUAAUAAAGAUGUGUGACACAAUCUUUAAUUUGUUCAUUAAUUUAAUUCAUUCUGCUUUGGUAAUCAACCUAUAUUUUUUUUGAGAAAAGAUGGUUUUUCAUUCAACCGAAAUGAACAUUACGUGGUAAGAACUAGCAUGUUAACGACGGCCUCGUUAAAACCUUCUCAGAGAAAUAUAAUUCUAAUGCUUUUCAAGGUUCCCUUUUCUAAUAAUUUGUUAUAGUCCAAAAAUCAUUUCAUUUUUUCAUUCGUCAGCUUCUUUUUUUUUCUUUUUUCUUUUUUUGGGUUGAGAAAUUUUGGGAUUGUAUUACAAUAAUGGAGCAAUCUAACAGCAAAAUUAAGACAAUCUAACAAUUCAAAAUAAUAAAAAAGUUUGGUACUAAGCAAGGGCGGAACCAUGAAUUUGUUAACCAGUAGACUAGCUACAGUUAUUAGCUUAAAAUUUAAUAAUCAUUUAUAUUUUGCUUAUAGUUUCUAUAGUCUUUCUAGAAAUAAAAGUAUGCUUUAAAUCUUAUAAACCACUCGAAUUUUCAGUAAACUUUAAUAUAAAACAAAUACAUAUUAAAGAUGCAAUCGCAAAACACAUAUUAUCAAAAUAAAAAUAUAUUUAACAAUAGAAUUCCAAGUGUACUUAUUUUAAUGUGUAUUUUUAUUGUUGUCAUGCAAUCAAGUUCAUAAAAAUUUGGAUUUUUUUUAAUGGAUACUGAUGUGGAGGUAUUGAGUAGAUGCCAAAAAUGAUAAACUUCGUUUUUUUUUUCUUUUCCAUUGUCCAAAUCCAAAAUUUCCUCUUGGGUUUUCUAAAAAAUUAAUAUUAAGGAGAAACUUAAAUGGGAUAAAUGUGGCACAAUAUGAACCAUUAAAAUCCGAAGAUUGGGAGUUGGUAUGGCCAAAUAUAAUCAUAGCUUGGUACUUUGAAGAAACUGACCAAUUGAAACGUGAAUAAAUUAGCACUUUGAAUUAAUUUUUGUGAAGUUGUGAUGCAAUGUCCUAACUUGAUUAGUUGGUCUUUGUUGAUGCGAAAAAGUGGUUCGACACAUAUUUCACCAACUUAGUUAUAUUAUGCCUUCGACAGGUGACUAUCUUCGGAAGACGUCUUGCUUCGGAAGGGUGAGUACCUGCAAAAAGGACGCGUUCGGUAAGUCCUUGGGGUACCGGUGUGGUACCGACCGAAAGCUCUCCGAUGCUUUAGUAAGUACGGUUUUAGUAAUGUUAACUGACAGAUCAAUCAGUAGCGUACCGUUCGUUCUGAUCCCUUCCUUUUGGGGAUAGGGGUCUUCUUAUAUAUGCCUUGGGAGGUGUGCACUGUGCUCAUAUUUCCGAUGUGGGACUGUGGACGCGGAUUGUGAGCAUGACACGUGUCCGGUAGUAAAAGGGUCAAGAAAAACGGCUUCGGUAGGCAGCAUGCCGAAGGGUUUCUGCGAUCAAUAUCGAUCCUGUCCACGUGUUCGGUGGUCAUAGGCCGUUUGUUUCCGGUAUAAACAGUCUUCAAUCUAAAAACCAAUUUCACAAUCAGUCUUAUUAGUUCCGCCCCGGGUACUAAGGCAGGUUAUUGAAACCUUUUUAAGAAGAAAAAAAAACUACAAAGGAAUAGCUAUGGUCCUUGCCAUACUUAACGCAUCAAAUAAAUGCGAACAUAGCCAGUGAAGUAUAACUCAGUUAGUUAAGCUCUUUCAUCUCCAUCUAUGCAGGCAGAGAUUUAAAACUCCCAGACGCUCAAUGAAUAUUUGUGUAAACCCCUUCUUCCAAUUGCUUGUACUAAAAAAGUAAAAAUAAACGCGAACCUAAUUCCUACUAAUUAAAUCUUUGGAAUUAAUCAGAACCCUAAAAAUAGGGCGAGUAGCGUCAAUAGAGUUGGGAUCCAAGCAAACAGCAGCCAUGGAGUCAUUCUCAAUUAAAAUAUGUAGUAUGUAGUUAUACACAUAACAAAUACUUGUUAAUUAUGAAUAAGAGUUGAGCGUAGUAGUUGACUAAUAAGUGAUGAGAAUCCUCACAAGAGAUUAGGGUUGCUUGCUUAUGCUUUCAAUCUCUGUUGUUGACUAUGCAUGGGUCUUUGAUGGAAUUGUCAGCUGCAAAAGAGAGGAAGGGUAGGGGUAGGGGAGAGGUGGGUCCGUUUUCCCUUUUAAUUUUAAUUUUUCUAUUUUUUUGUUUUGUUUUUAAUUGAAAGGACAAAAUUGAAAACUUGAGACGUGAUGGGCUGUGGAUUAAAUUGUAGAAACUAAUUUUCGUAAUUACAAAGAAAAAAGAACUUUGUGAGCGCUGAAGUUGAAGUUGAAGCUAUUAAGUUAAGUAGUACUCUGAGACCACUUUGUUGUGUAAAUUUGGCGUCUAAAGCUUGAAAAAUUCAAUAAAGUGUGGGCAUGUCCGUAGUUGGUCUUGAGUCGCUAGCGGUUAGGGUGCUUUUGGGUGAAGAACUUUGGAGAUAUGAUUUUGGGGUGAUAUGGGACUUAGAAAUCCCAUAUAGUCAAAGUUUCUUAUUUGACAAGUUUAAAAAUGAGGUUUACCAAAUUAUAAAGGCUUUCACAUGUGCUUCUGAGAAGCCAAAAAUCCAAUUCUAACUUCAAACCAAAAUUAGGUGUUAUUUCAAAAUAUACUAUUACUAAGAUUUGUCAAAAGAAAUACCGUAAGGUAUGAUUCACACUCAUGAGUCAUGGGCCUUGAAGCACAUAUUCUGACAUUGUGAUUCAAGGAAUAUUUGUGUAAACCGCUUCUCACAAAGGCAUCAAAGAAUAUUUGGAUGAUAUUGCACCUUUUGACCUUUAACUUGGAUGCCUUUCUCAAUGUUUUCUAUCUGUGAUUUCAUUAGAUCCAUUCAUCUUGCAAUAAAGAUUAUUAUAAUUAAUACCAGUUUAACUCCAAAAACACCCAUUAAAAAGUCAGACCGCAUUUCAAAGAAAAAACCAAACAAAGAAGAAGACAAGACAUGACACCACUACCACAUAUAUCGCUUGCUUGAAGUGAAAGCAUGUCAUAUGUAAGUAUAUAUAUAUAUAUAUAUAUAUAUAUAUAUAUAUAUAUAUAUAUAUAUGAUAAUAUGAUGUGAGUAAAAUAUGGUACCACCACACCACAUGUUGUUGAACGUGUGUAAGACACUAAUGGAUAGCCUGUGGAAUCUGCACGCGUAAAUGUAUCUUUCUUUUGCCCAAACAAUUCUCCCCACUUGUCACAAAACGACAUGGCGUCUCUAGAGUAGGUAUGCUCCUCCUUUUCAAAUGGAAGCCAGCUGAGUUACAUACAUAUAUGCCGCCCGCCCUAUCUGUGUUUCCUGGUCGUGGCCUACAUAGUGCUCGAUACACUUGACACUCUCCACUUUCAUUUUGACAUUUGACUUCCAUGUCUAGCUAGCCCACAUAUUUAUAUUAAUUAAUCCACUAUCCAUGCAAAACUUCAACACUUUAUUAUAUCAUAUUUAAUUUGUUAGUGACAAUGUGAUUAUCAAUUAACAGUGCCAUUUGUUGUUGUCUGAUCUUUGUCAUCUUUUAAUUUUUGAUUUCAUGCAUGCAUGAUUUGGCUUUAAUUAAUAUUUUUUUAGUCCUGUUAUUUGUACUAUAUUUACUAAUUACGGUGAAUUUCUCAUUCAUUAGUUCUGUGGUGCAUUUAUGUGUCGAUCUACAUGUAAUUAGUAUGGAUUUUGACUUCAAUUAUUGCAUUAUCUAGACAAAUGAGAUUGAUUAGGUGGAUAAUUGAUCAGCAUAAACCACUGUCGUCUUCAACUUUUUCUCUUCCUUUGGUUUUGGGGCGGCAAACUUUGUUUAAUCAUUACUUUGCAUCUAUAUAAAUGCACAUUGCCUUCUCUUCACUCUUCAGUUCUACCAGUUACGCCUUCUUCUAUCAACUAAGCUAAUUUGUUUUGACCACACACACACAGAAACAUGGGAAUUCCUAAGCUUCUUGGUGUGUUUCUAGUAAUGGAAAUGAUGAGUGGCUUCAGAUUUGGAGCACAUGGUUUGAGUAUGGGAUAUUACGUUAUGAGCUGCCCGAUGGCUGAAUUGAUCGUCAGAAAUUCAGUCAUCAGAGCCUUGCAAGCUGAUCCAACCUUAGCAGCAGGCCUAAUCAGAAUGCAUUUCCAUGACUGCUUCAUAGAGGUCUCUCUCUCUCUCUCUCUCUCUCUCUCCACACACAACACAAAGCAUAUUGUUUAAAUUUGUUUAAAUUUUUUAGGUUUUGUUAGAAGUACACGAAAUUUUUAUUAAGAAAAGCAAAAGGUUUUCUAGCAUAUUUAUUUGAAAGUGCUUUAUGAAAAAACAGAAGAGUGCUUCUUUACGAACCACUAAAUGUAAUAUCAUAACACUAUUAGAGUAACAUUUAGUUUACUAUUUUUAACUUUAUGCUUUUUCUAUUGGGUGCUAUGUGUGCUACAUCUACACUCUUCCUUUGUUAUUCAUAUAUUACUUUUCAAUCAGCACAUUAAUUACACGCAACACACACCCAAAUAGUAUAAUGUUUUGUUUUCUUGUGUAAAGUGUUCUUUUUCAAAUGCCAAGUUCAUGUUAAAUUAUUUUUUUAAGGGAUUUAAUAACUCCACAUUGUAAUUUCUAAAUUACCAAAAAAAAUAAAACCUUGUGUUUCCUUGUUGAAUAUUUAGGGAUGUGAUGCUUCAAUUCUCCUAGAUUCAACAAAAGACAACACAGCAGAGAAGGACUCCCCUGCAAAUUUGAGCCUGAGAGGCUAUGAAGUUAUUGACGCUGCAAAAGAGGAGCUUGAAAAAGAAUGCCCUGGCGUUGUCUCAUGCGCUGACAUAGUUGCAAUGGCUUCUACAUAUGCAGUUUUUGAGGUAAUUAAGGACAUAUAAACUCAUUCAUAAAUUAAAUUUUGUUCUUUUUUAUGUGUGUGAAAUUAAUCAUUAGACUUUACUGUUUGCUGUGGGAUUUGAUUAACAACAGGCUGGAGGUCCAGUAUAUGACAUACCCAAAGGAAGAAAGGACGGAAGUAGGUCUAAAAUACAAGACACAAUCAACCUGCCUCCACCCACCUUGAAUGCCUCUCAACUCAUUAAAAUGUUCGGGCAACAUGGUUUUACUGCUCAAGAAAUGGUGGCUCUAUCUGGUAAACAUAUACAUACUCCCUCUUAAAAUUUACAAACGACCAUGUUAUGUAGCCGAUUGAGUGGCAGAUAUUGUCCGGUCAAAUCAUGUAACAUAUGUUAUAUUUUAACUAGACGAUACCUGCCACUCAUUAUGGCAGAAUUUCCACAUAAGUUUUUCUCUUAAUUUAAGGGUUCAUAUAUAUUGGUUUUGUACUUCGUAGGUGCACAUACACUAGGUGUAGCCAGGUGCUCUUCAUUCAAAAACCGAUUGGUUGAUGCUGUGGAUCCAAACUUAGAUUCAGGGUUUGCAAAGCAACUGACCAAAACCUGCAGUGCCGGGGACAAUACCGAGCAGCCCUUCGACGGGACGAGAAACCAUUUCGAUAACCUUUACUUCAAUGCACUGCAGCAUAACACCGGACUGCUGGCUUCUGAUCAAACUCUCUUUUCAUCUGCAAGAACCAGAAACAUUGUAAAUGGUUAUGCCUUCAACCAAGCCAUGUUCUUCUUUGAUUUUCAACAGGCAAUGGUGAAAAUGAGCAUGCUGGAUGUUAAGGAAGGUUUCAAAGGAGAAGUGCGACAAAACUGCCGCAAAAUCAAUUAAGGGAGGAGUUUUGUGUAAAGAGACUUGAAGAAUUCGUUUGCUCUUCAUUGUGUAUUGAUGGCUAAAAACAUCCGUCAUUGUUUAAUAGUUAAAUAGUAUAUUACAUAAUAAAGGUCCUUUGAGCUUAUGUUUUAUUUGUAUUAUUUCUCCUUGUUUACAGCGGUGUAUGAAUGGGAGAAAAUGUGCUUUGUAGAAAUAUAUAGUUUUUUUUUUUUUUUUCCGGCCAUGAUAUGUAGAAAUCUUUAUUUUAUUUUAUUUUAUUUUUGGGUCUGAAGCCAUGAUGUAGAAAUCUAUUGUUAAAUAAAUUAGAGCUGAAGCCCAAAAGCCUAACAACAAAUUUGAGCUGGGCCAUACCAGCUCGGGCCCAGUCAUCACGUAACUGACCCAAAUAAAAGAAUAAAAGUUUUUCACUGAAAUUGUACUCAGUUGGGCUAAGAGGAAGCCGAUUGGACUUCAAAAUCAAUUUGGACACUUUCAGAGUUAAAUUAAUUUUUAAAAGAAAGUUAAAAGCCGAUGGCACUAUUGAUAAAUACAAGGCAUGCUUAGUUGCUAAAGGGUGUCAACAAAAAGGAAGGGUUGGAUUAUUUCGACACUUAUUCUCCAGCAUCAAGAAUUACAUUUAUAAAGAUGUUAAUUGCUAUAGCUGCCAUACACAAUAUGGACAUACAUCAAAUGGAUGUAGAAAUAGCUUUCUUAAAUGAAGAAUUAGAUGAAGAAAUAUACAUGGAAUAACCAGAAGAUUUUGUGGUAAAAGGUCAAGAAACUAAAGUCUGUAAACUUGUUAAGUCUUUAUAUGGACUUAAACAAACUCCAAAACAAUGGCAUCAAAAAUUUGAUCAUACAAUGAUGUCAAACGGAUUUAAGAUCAAUGAAUCUGACAAGUGUGUUUACAUAAAGAACAACAAGAAUUCUUGUGUUCUUGUAUGUUUAUAUGUUGAUGACAUGCUUAUAAUGGGAACAAAUAAGGAUGUAGUAAAAUCUAUAAAAGAAGAUGUUGAAUUCAAGUUUUGACAUGAAAGUCUUAGGUCAAGUUGAUGUCAUUCUGGGAAUUCAAAUCAAAAGAAAUAGAGAUGGGUAAUUCUUACUCAAUCCCAUUAUGCAAAUUUUUUUUAAAGAAAGUUUGGUCAAUUUGACUGCAAACAUGCUGUGACUCAUUUUGAUGUAAAUUGCAAGUUAAAGAAGAAUAAUGGAAAUGAAAUUUCCCAAUUUGAGUAUUCCCAAGUAAUUGGGAGCCUAAGUAUUUUAAUGAAUUCUAUUAGGCCAGACUUAGCUUAUUCAGUAAGCAGGCUUAGUAGAUACACAAGCAAUCCUAGACAUGAUCAUUAGGAGGCAUUAAUUAAAGUGUUAAGAUAUUUGAAAUGCACCCAAGAUUAUGGAUUACAUUAUACAAAAUAUCCACCAGUUCUAGAAGGCUAUAGUAAUGCAAAUUGGAUUUUUGAUAGUGCCGUAGCAUGAUAUUAUUCGCUUUGGACUCCAUGCCCUCACGUUUUGUUUAUGGGAACUCACGAACAACUUCCUAAUGGGUCACCCAUCCUGGGAUUGCUUUAGCCCAAACUCACUUAACUUCGAAGUUCCUAUGACUUCAAAGCGAGUGAGCUCCCAAAAGGCCUCGUGCUAGAUGGAGGUGGGUAUGUGCAUAUAAGGCACAUCACCCCCUCUCCGUUGGUCGAUGUGGGAUGUUACAAUCCACCCCCCUUAGGGGCCUGAUGUUCUCGUCGGCACACUAACAUCACACAGCAGAGUGGCUCUGAUGCCAUUCAGUCAUAUUCCGGAUCGGCUUCGCCAUAGCACGAUAUUGUCCGUUUUGGGCCCCCUGCCCUCACAGUUUUGUUUCUGGAAACUCACGAGCAUCUUCCUAAUGGGUCACCUAUCUUGGGAUUGCUCUAGCCCAAACUCGCUUAACUUCAAAGUUCUCAUGACUCCGAAGCCAAUGAGCUCCCAAAAGGCCUCGUACUAGAUAGAGGUGGGCAUGUAUAUAUAAGGCACAUCACUCCUUUUCUGUUGGUCAAUUUGAGAUGUUACAAUUUUAGAUUGGAGCUCUUUUUCGUUGAGAUUGAAGUAGGUUUUUGCACUUAAAAAGAUAGGUUUGUUACUUAAAGGGCAGAACAAUAGGAAGUUUAGAUGUGGAAGCCUUUUUUGAUGAGCUCACUUAAAUAUUUUAGAGUUGGAGCUCUUUUUUGAUGAGAUUGUGUUCACCCGUUUUUGUGUUUGCUCCUGAGGUGGAAGGGCGAAGUUCCCCACUGGCUUGGAGACCACUAGUUGGUCGACAAGUCAGCUUUCUUUGGUGUGUGAGCGUGCCACUGCUAGCAAUGUAAAUUCUAGCAGACUUAUUUUUAAAGUGGAUAACUUGCGCCUCAAGUUACUGACUUCUAAAACAACUGAUUGUAAAUUUGGGUGAGGAAUAUCUCCCAAGUAAGUUCUUUUCUUGCCUCAGACUGGUGAGGACUUUCAUAAUUUAUCUCAGUAUCAAAUGGUCGUUCUGGCUAGAAUAGAUAAUAAUAAAGUAGAUUGUUUUAGGCGGAACUGCCUUUUACGAAAUUAAGAAGGGAGAAAUUAACUCUAGAAAGAUAAAGAGAUGGCUGGAAUCCCAUUUCUGCCUGGAUGGAAACUUCUGAUCCGGGCUGGACUGAGUAUGUCCGUGCUGGACUGUGCUGUCAACAACUUCAACUGCUUGGCCUUCAGCUGUAAAUCGAUACCAAAGUUCAAUUUUGGCAGAGCUUUAAUCUACUUCAAGUCUUGGGAGGCUUUUGAGCGGGCAGAACUGCAGCUUCUUCAGUUUGAAGGGACAGAAGUGGCUGUUCUCGAGAAUUUAGCAAGCUGGGACUGUACUGCAAAAUUUGUUGAGGUUUUCAUAUUUGCGAAAACUCAAACUAUGUUUGUCUUGGCUUUUGGUGAACCAAAUUUGUAACGAGAGGGAUCUCGUUUUCAGAAGACUUAUUUUCUAAGUCUGAACUUUGGAAUUCUGAUCUAAAACUGUUUUUCUCUUGGGAUCCAAGUGAGCUUUUGAUUGUUUUCUUGUUUGUUUUUUUUGAUUGAUUGAUGAAUUGAGUGUCCUUUUUUUCUUUGCCUACUUUCGUUUUUUAUAAGAGAUCCUCCUAAGGAGGUAAUUUUUAAUCCUAAAUAAUGGGCGGCAAAAAGUUCUCUUAUAAUGUAAAGUAAGAAGGGUUUCUUAUCAAUCAAGGCAGCUAGGUUCUGAGCAGUCACCUCCUAAAGCAGUCCCCUCCCUGGUUUCCUGGGUAGCAGCUUUCUAAUUCAACCAACGCUACCGUCUGUGUGGGCUUUUUUUUUUAUUUUUUUAUUUUUAUGGGGGUUUGGCUCUUUUUCUUUUGUAUUUUCUGAAUGGUUCCCUGUUUCCCGCUCUAAUUUAGAAAGCGUGAUCCGUGAAUUCCUUGGGAGAUGGUGUAUUGAUUUGGAGCAAAAUCUCGAACACAGAUGGGUUUUUUGAUCUUCAAUUGGCAGUGUUUCAGAGACGUCCCUCUCACAUUUUAAACUUUAGUUGGAAUUGCUGACUUUUUCAAAGUUGAGGCAAUCCCGUGGUUGUGUCUUUGAUCCCUUGGGUUUGAACCUAACAAAAAUUACGGGCUGAUCUUUGAAGCCCAUUUCGAAAGUUUCCACAUUUGGGCUUUCUUUGGGCAGAGGCUUCGUUUUCAACAUUUCUGGUGUGAAGCCCAAUCUGUCUGGAUCCUAUUUUUGUUUUUCUCAAGUCUUUGGGCUGGGCAGGCAAUUUUAUCAUGGGUCUGUCUUUCGGACUUGGGCGUGCCGAAUUUGGGCCCAAACAGAUUGAUGUAGGUUUUUGGCAAACGAUAGAUUAGUCAAUUCCUCAACAAACCUAUCUUUUGCCAAAAACUUUUUGCACUUAAAAAGAUAAGUUUGUACUUAAAAUGGUUGUUUUGUUCUAUUGAUAAUAUGUUUUUGAAACUUUGGAUAGCUGUAAAUGGUGAAUGACGUAUAUGGUUUAGUUUUAAACUUUGGAUGGACGUUAAUGAUGAAUGAUGCAUAUGGUUUAGUUUGAAACUUUGGAUGGAUGUGAAUGAUGAAUGAUGCAUAUGUUUUAGUUUGAAAGGAUGAUUGAAUGAAUGAUUUUGAAUAUGUUGUGAUGUGAAUGGUGAAUGAAUUUCAAGCAGGUUUUGAAUGAAUGUUUGAGUUUGAAUGAAUUUAGAUUCUACAUGUUUUCACCAAACCAAACCAAGGAAAUCCGAGAUGACCGGUUUCGGUUUCCUACCUCAUGGUUUGGCGCAUGGUUUGAAUUUUCUUCAAACCGUGAGGUACAAUUCAGCGUACUGUUUGGGCUCAAAACUGAAUCAAACCAAACCAAAUCAAGCCCAACUCUAGUUAUAUCUAUCAAAUGUACUAAUAAAUACUAGUCUUAUCACCCUUUUAUACUACAUGAUGUGGCAGCUAAUGUGUACAUACCACAUCACGUAAAAUAUUGCUAGCUUUUGUUUUUCUAAUUUUAUUUAUUAAAAUACACUUCAUUCAUUUAAUUGAUGUGACAUAUGAUAUGAACAUGCCACAUCAUAUAGUAUAGAAAUAUGAGAUAAAAAUGUGGUAAAUGUAGUAUUACUCUUUUGUUAUUUACAACUAUAAUGUAGAUAUUAAGAUGGAAAAUGCUAGGCUUACUAUAUUUUUAUAUCACAUUGAGUACAAAAAUCUAAUAAAGGUGAGCCCCAUUGUAUUGAUAGGGGCUCUACUUUUAUUUAAGAUGUAGUACACAAUAUGAUAUAAAAAUAUGAUAAGCCUAUUAAGAUUAGACAUCACAUAUAAAUCCGCCACUCUCCAAUAAAUCUUUUUGAUGUGACAUCUUGCAAUGUGAUGUUACAAAUCGAUUAAUAUUAUACAAUCUAUUCAUUACCAUAGCGCCUUGAAAUAUUAAUAACUGUUGUCCAAUUUAUUUUCACUAACCUAUGUUACUAAUACACGUGGCAAAGUUCCAAUACCAUAAAAUAAUUUUUAGAAAUGGCAACAAAACGAAUUGAGGUCCAUUUUCCUUCGUAACCGGUAAGUUUCAAUCUUGAUUUAUAAUUAGAAAUGAAAGUAAGACUUAGUAAAAAUAUAAAAAUAUUAAAAAAAACCUACGCGCCAAUUCCUAUGGGUUGUGUAUUUUCCUUAUGUUCUUGUCUUAUCUUGAUUUUCAAAUUUAAUAAGAUUUCUUAGCUGUUUCCAAUUAAGUAUAACCAAGAUAACCUAUUUACCCAAGGAUUAGUCAGACUCAGAUAUGUGGCUGCCCACUAAAAAUAUUAGAGAAUUUUUAGAUCUCAGAUGAAUGAUUUAGAGUAUAAAUUAAAGAUAAUGAAGACAAGGAAGAGAAUCCAAAUUAUUUUUUCAAAUAAAGAAGCCCAAAAACGAAGCUGCAAUUAAAUAAUCAACAAGACAGAAAGAGCUCAUAAUAUAUGGCCACUUCCCCAUCCGAUCCGAACAAUACAAUUGAAAAAAUGGAGAAGAGAAUGGGGGUUGUUCAAGCACCUAAAGACUUCAUAUGGGCAUGUCUUUAUUUCUUCAGUUGAUGAGCUAGCUGCUGAAGUGACCUCCCUACAUAUUCAUCUUCCGGUGCACACCAAGUGUUUGCUAUAUUGCUCGACUGAGAGGACGACGAGAAGAAGACCUGCUUCUGCUUCUGCUUCUCCUAAUGAGCUCGCGGAUCUGAGACACCAUCACUUCCACCAUAUCUCCUGUAUAAUUCAUCAGCAAUGGCCGCAAGAACAUAGCCCAAAGCCCCACCAAUGCCACCAUUACUUCUGCUCCCAAACCCAACAUUGAUAAAUUAAUACAAUAUUUUUCCCUUCUCCUGCAUAUAACUUGGCUUUCAAUAUAUGGUGUGUUGCUGUUGCUCUCUCUCUCUCUCUCUCUCUCUCUCUCUCUUGAAGCUUGGAAGUUGGCGGGCAGUUAUAAUGUUAUCCAGUAUGUGGAAUUUCUAAUAAAUGUAAUGUUUGGUUCCAAAGGUACAAGCCAGCCGACCAAAUUGAGGACUAGGUACCAAGACUAAACUUCAUCCACCAUUCUUUAAAAACAAACAGUCUUCACAGGCCGGGUAGGUAGCUGAGGUCUACAUUGGGAAACUAUUAACCACCAACUCUAUAUCUACCAUUCUUUAACCCUCUGUUUUUUUUUUUGGGGUCAAAAGUGAGAUGACGAAAAUAUUCAAUUUGAAAUCAUGUAAUUUGGGCGAAGUUACGAUUUGGUUCUUAU
rnacentral:lncRNA from 1 species